AAAAAGAAAAGAAAAGAAAAAAAACUGCAAAUGAAAUAAACCUCUCAUCCUGAGUCCCCAUGAAAAGAACAACCACCCAGUGACCAGGAAUAUUCACUUCGACCAAAAAGAACUUGUGAAAGUUGUCAGAGUCAAAAUGGAGCCACUUGUGUUAAAGACUGUGCCAAGUGGCAUCGAGGAUGGCCGUGAACGGAGGGUUCUUAUGCACAAAUGCCUGACGGCAACGACUAUCACAAAAGACUCCGCAAAAACCACAACCUUGUGAAAGAAAGGCCCACCACAACCUUACUACACACAAAAAAACUUCUGCAAGGACAUCUGCACAGCAACUUCCUGUCUAACCUUGGACCGGCACCACCCUUGUUAUGGAUCCUUAUAGCUAACAAUAAUUAUCACAAAACAAUUUUAUAAUCUUCUUCAUUUUUCCUUUAAAAAUAUUUGUCUUCCUU
rnacentral:lncRNA from 10 species